rnacentral:SRP_RNA from 1 species
UCGUGCUUAGGCGGGGAGUUAGCGGUGCCCUGUAUCCGCAAUCCGCUUUAGCGGGGCUGACAUCCCACCAUGAGGUCUUAGGUCGUCAUCCGCCACCGUCGUUGCGCUGUGUUGACGAGUGGGUCCUGCGCGGCGAAGGCCUAUAAACCCCGCCAGGUCCGGAAGGAAGCAACGGUAGUAGUCACCUUCGGGCGCCGCAGGAGCGCCUGCUCUGAGCAGUUCGAUGGCGGUACAGGUGACGGCUGGUCCGAAGG